CAUUGUGAAGUAAGGACGCAUUGUUUUUUUUCUUUUCCAAGAUCUGAAAAAUAUAUUUUUCAUUUGCUUCACCUUUUUUUUUUAUCCUAUCCUAAGAUGAGAGCUAUGUUUCAUUAAAGAGUUUGAUUUUAUUUUCUUGAAGUUAUCUAAAUCAGAAAUAUAAUAGUUUGAUUUCAUUUCAGGUAAUCGAAAGUUUCUGAAAAUCUCCCAAGGAGACAAAAUGAGACAAGGGUCUUCAUGCUCUGAAGAAGUCUGCUUCGACUUGUUGAAUCAGUUCGAGCAUCUUCUUGAAUCUGACCCUCUCAUUGAUGAAGUUGGGUUUAUUCACCCCUCACAGUUCACACUGCUGGAUAAAGAAUCAGGAUCCGUUGCUGACGGAAGCUCAACAAGUUUCUGGAAUCAAGAUCAUAAACUGGGAAUAUCAACUGACAUACUUAUCCAAUUAUGUAAAGAUGCAAAACAUGCCUUCCUGUCUGCAUUUAAGGAGUACAAAUGCCUUGAAACCGCAUCUACUUCUGCCAAAGAUAUCUCGUCUGGGAUCCCUUCUUGUUCCCUUGAGAGCAGAGUCAUGAAACAUAGCCAAGCUCUGUUGCUGUUAAGCUCAGACUUUGGAACUGCAUGGAACGCCAGGAAGUUGAUCUUGUCCAAACAAGAUCAACCCUUGGAGGCAUUCACGGAAGAACUUCGUCUUUCUAGGCUCCUUCUUUCUAACUCUCCAAAGAGUGAGCCAACAUGGAGUCACAGAAGAUGGAUAAUUAAGAUGCUUUCCCGGAGGUUUUCAGCAUCACAAGAGAUUAUCACCAAAGAGUCUGAGCUAGUGGAAUCAAUAGGCGAGGUUUAUAUCAGUUUGUGUGCUUUAUAUAUAAUGAAGAGAUCAAAGAUGAACUACCGUGCAUGGUAUCACCGCUGCUGGUUGGUUUCCUACAUGACAACAGAGCAGGUGCUACAAGAGUUGAAAAAUUCUAAAAGGUGGGCAGGGCUGCAUGUAGCCGAUAGUUCUUGCUUUCAUUACCGCAGACGGCUGAUGCUCAGGGUUUUGGAGACACAUAAUGUGGAAGGAAGCAACGCUUAUGAUAAAACUGAGGCACAUAAGAUCUGGAAGGAAGAGCUUGAUUGGAACAAAGAGUUGGUGGCACGUUACUUGGGCCGAGAGGCACUAUGGCUUCACCGGCGAUUCCUCUCUCUUACUUGGAUAAUGCAUUUCGGACGCAACCAGUCAUCUGAAACCGGACAGCGCAUGGUCAUGAAUGAAGAAAUUGUCACCUUCAUUGAUAAAGAGAUCCAUCUUCUAGAAUCUUCUAUGACCGUUCCAGAUACCAAGUUUGAAGAUUUUCAAGCUCAAGCAUUGCAUGCUGCUGUCUACAUGCUAUGGCUGACAAAAGUAAAAUGUUCCAGAGAUGUGGAGAAUGCUUGAGGAGAAGCUUGGAACAGAGAAAAUCAAGUGUAUACUGAACACAGUUGCUCAAGAGAGACCCUCCUCGCUUUUGCACCAACUAGAUAUUUUUGCAGCUGAUCUUGAGUAUUGAUCAAUAUGUUAACCGUUGUUGUAAGGUUUCAAUAUAUAAAAUUUACUAGAAAUAAAAGUUUAACGUUGAUGCCCACAUCCCCUAUAUAUUAAUUGAGAAGCAUUUAAAAAAUAAGAACCUUAAUUUUGUAUUAAUUAAAAAAAACCCCAAAUCCUAGGUGGCACUCUAAAUGCCUUCUAAAUUCUAUUUCAAAGAAUUCUAGAGCAUCUAAUAUAAAGUAUAGUUUAAUCUAAUGGUGUCACAUUAUUUUAUAAUUAUAUAACACUAGAGAACAUUAUAUUAACCUAAAAUAUAGGAAGUGUGUAUUCUUUCCUUAAAUAAAAGCUACGGAAUUACCUAAUAUGAUUUACAUAUAUAUGGCAAUUAAUUAUUAUGAAUAAUGGCAAUUAAUUAU